AGUCUACCUGCCCACUGAAUAAUUUAAAUGGCCGCAGUAUACUAACUGUGCAAAGGUAGCAUAAUCAUUAGUCUUUUAAUUGAAGGCUGGUAUGAAUGGUUGGACGAGAUAUUAACUGUUUCAUAAAAAUUUAUAAUAGAAUUUUAUUUUUUAGUCAAAAAGCUAAAAUAAAAUUAAAAGACGAGAAGACCCUAUAAAUCUUUAUAUAUAAGUUAUUAGAAUUUUGUAGAUUUUUUUUAUUAUAAUAAUUAACUAUAUUUUAUUGGGGUGAUAUUAAAAUUUAAUAAACUUUUAAUUAUUAAAAUCAUUAAUUUAUGAAUAAUUGAUCCGUUAAUAACGAUUAAAAAAAUAAGUUACUUUAGGGAUAACAGCGUAAUUUUUUUGGAGAGUUCAUAUCGAUAAAAAAGAUUGCGACCUCGAUGUUGGAUUAAGAUAUAAUUUUAGGUGUAGCCGCUUAAAUUUUAAGUCUGUUCGACUUUUAAAUUCUUAC
rnacentral:rRNA from 1 species